GCUACUAGUAUCAGAACAUCAGAGAUUAGGUCAGUCAUAAUGUAAUCAUUUGGGCUACUAGAUUAGGUCAGUCAUAAUGUAAUCAUUUGGGCUACUAGUAUCAGAACAUCAGAGAUUAGGUCAGUCAUAAUGUAAUCAUUUGGGCUACUAGAUUAGGUCAGUCAUAAUGUAAUCAUUUGGGCUACUAGAUUAGGUCAGUCAUAAUGUAAUCAUUUGGGCUACUAGUAUCAGAACAUCAGAGAUUAGGUCAGUCAUAAUGUAAUCAUUUGGGCUACUAGAUUAGGUCAGUCAUAAUGUAAUCAUUUGGGCUACUAGAUUAGGUCAGUCAUAAUGUAAUCAUUUGGGCUACUAGAUUAGAUCAGUCAUAAUGUAAUCAUUUGGGCUACUAGAUUAGGUCAGUCAUAAUGUAAUCAUUUGGGCUACUAGAUUAGGUCAGUCAUAAUGUAAUCAUUUGGGCUACUAGAUUAGGUCAGUCAUAAUGUAAUCAUUUGGGCUACUAGAUUAGAUCAGUAAUAAUGUAAUCAUUUGGGCUACUAGUAUCAGAACAUCAGAGAUUAGAUCAGUCAUAAUGUAAUCAUUUGGGCUACUAGAUUAGGUCAGUCAUAAUGUAAUCAUUUGGGCUACUAGAUUAGGUCAGUCAUAAUGUAAUCAUUUGGGCUACUAGAUUAGGUCAGUCAUAAUGUAAUCAUUUGGGCUACUAGAUUAGGUCAGUCAUAAUGUAAUC